CCCUUGUAAGCGUCCGGCCUCUACGUGGCACAAGGGACAAGUACCUAUUUCUAGUAGGGAAACCAACGGACG
rnacentral:ribozyme from 1 species